UCAUAGAAAGAGCUUAAUGGGGAAGAGUGCGAAAGAAUUACGUUGUUCAAGUGCACAUAUUGUAAUUCAGCCGGUGUAUGGGCAAAUGCACAUGCAAAGGAAUGUUCUAAUGAGAUGCAAAGGUUAUUGGCUGAAUUUGAAGCUGAAGGAAACUCGAUAACUAUCGAUGAGAUUUGUAAUAAAGUUUUGGGAGUGUGCUCUAGAUAUAUUCGUGGACUUGGGCAUGGACCGAAGCCACACCAAGCCUCAAGUUCAAAGUUCAAGGUAAACCAACUUGAGGAACAACUAAAAGAAUCUCGAUUGGAAAACCAUCAGUUGAAAGAGGAUGUAAAUGAGCUCAGGGAAAGGUUGGAUCAGCAAGGACGUCUGGUUGAGAUGUUACUUGCUGUAGAGGGUCAAUCCAACUCCAGACCAUUAUGAAUCAAGAAUUUCAAGGUUGGCAUGUCUGAGUCUCAACAGAAAGGCUAGAGGUUGCUGAUUUUGGAUGCUGAUUUUGGGCCUUGCAGGUUGCUCAUUUUGGAUCUUACAGGUUGCUAAGUAACAACAUCAACUGAGGUUGGAAUUUUGCCAGAUCCAACUCAUGCUAUUCGACCAUUUUGUUACCUAUUUGUGCAUAUGUUUGAUCUUUUGAAGAAUCAGUGUUUGUAUUUUUUGAUGUCAACAAUUUCCUGUAAUGAUAGUUCGGACAUUAUAGAUCUAUGUUAUGGAUUAUUGUAUAUAUUGACAAAUUUAUAUUUACAAUUAGAAGUAUUUAGAUGUUCUUCA